UACAGAGGUCCCAAGCGUUGUCCGGAUUUAUUGGGCGUAAAGAGCUCGUAGGUGGUUCGGUAGGUCGGAUGUGAAAUCUCCAGGCUCAACCUGGAGGGGUCAUUCGAUACUGCCGUGACUAGAGUUCGGUAGAGGAGUGUGGAAUUCCUGGUGGAGCGGUGAAAUGCGCAGAGAUCAGGAGGAACACCCGUAGCGAAGGCGGCACUCUGGGCCGAUACUGACACUGAGGAGCGAAAGCGUGGGGAGCGAACAGG
rnacentral:rRNA from 1 species